rnacentral:rRNA from 1 species
AGAGUUUGAUCCUGGCUCAGGAUAAACGCUGGCGGCGUGCUUAACACAUGCAAGUCGAACGAAGUUUUUCUUUCGGGAGGAACUUAGUGGCGGACGGGUGAGUAACGCGUGGGUAACCUGCCCUGUACAGGGGGACAACAGCUGGAAACGGCUGCUAAUACCGCAUAAGCCCUUAGCACUGCAUGGUGCAUAGGGAAAAGGAGCAAUCCGGUACAGGAUGGACCCGCGUCUGAUUAGCCAGUUGGCAGGGUAACGGCCUACCAAAGCGACGAUCAGUAGCCGAUCUGAGAGGAUGUACGGCCACAUUGGGACUGAGACACGGCCCAGACUCCUACGGGAGGCAGCAGUGGGGAAUAUUGCACAAUGGAGGAAACUCUGAUGCAGCGACGCCGCGUGAGUGAAGAAGUAUUUCGGUAUGUAAAGCUCUAUCAGCAGGGAAGAAAAUGACGGUACCUGACUAAGAAGCACCGGCUAAAUACGUGCCAGCAGCCGCGGUAAUACGUAUGGUGCAAGCGUUAUCCGGAUUUACUGGGUGUAAAGGGAGCGUAGGUGGCAAGGCAAGCCAGAAGUGAAAACCCGGGGCUCAACCGCGGGAUUGCUUUUGGAACUGUCAUGCUAGAGUGCAGGAGGGGUGAGCGGAAUUCCUAGUGUAGCGGUGAAAUGCGUAGAUAUCACGAAGAACUCCGAUUGCGAAGGCAGCUCACUGGAGCGCAACUGACGCUGAAGCUCGAAAGUGCGGGUAUCGAACAGGAUUAGAUACCCUGGUAGUCCGCACGGUAAACGAUGGACGCCCGCUGUUGGUCUGAACAGGUCAGCGGCCAAGCGAAAGCAUUAAGCAUCCCACCUGGGGAGUACGCCGGCAGCGGUGAAACUCAAAGGAAUUGACGGGGGCCCGCACAAGCGGAGGAACAUGUGGUUUAAUUCGAUGAUACGCGAGGAACCGUACCCGGGCUUGAAUUGCAGAGGAAGGAUUUGGAGACAAUGACGCCCUUCGGGGUCUCUGUGAAGGUGCUGCAUGGUUGUCGUCAGCUCGUGCCGUGAGGUGUCGGCUUAAGUGCCAUAACGAGCGCAACCCCUCUCCUUAGUUGCCAUCAGGUUAAGCUGGGCACUCUGGGGACACUGCCACCGUAAGGUGUGAGGAAGGUGGGGAUGACGUCAAAUCAGCACGGCCCUUACGUCCGGGGCUACACACGUGUUACAAUGGCAGGUACAGAGAGACGGUCCCUUGCAAAACGGAUCAAAUCCUUAAAGCCUGUCUCAGUUCGGACUGGGGUCUGCAACCCGACCCCACGAAGCUGGAUUCGCUAGUAAUCGCGCAUCAGCCAUGGCGCGGUGAAUACGUUCCCGGGCCUUGUACACACCGCCCGUCAAGCCAUGAAAGCCGGGGGCGCCUAAAGUCCGUGACCGUAAGGAGCGGCCUAGGGCGAAACUGGUAAUUGGGGCUAAGUCGUAACAAGGUA